GUAUUUCAAGUUAAGUGGACAAGGUUCCUUUCCUCAUGGGGGUCUGCUGAGUGAUGGCUGCACACAAGUCUCAGGGAGUAGUGUAUGUUGCCUAAUACUUGCAUGGGUUUCCCUGAGGAUCUGUGGAGACAUAU
rnacentral:snoRNA from 1 species